rnacentral:rRNA from 1 species
UACGAGGGGGCGAGCGUUGUUCGGAAUUAUUGGGCGUAAAAGGGUGCGCAGGCGGUUUGGUAAGUCUUGUGUGAAAUCUACAGGCUCAACUUGUAGUCUGCACGAGAAACUGCCGGGCUUGAGUAUGGGAGAGGUGAGUGGAAUUCCUGGUGUAGCGGUGAAAUGCGUAGAUAUCAGGAGGAACACCUGUGGCGAAAGCGGCUCACUGGACCAUAACUGACGCUGAUGCACGAAAGCUAGGGGAGCAAACAGG